UGCCAGCCGCCGCGGUAAUACGGAGGGUGCAAGCAUUAAUCGGAUUUAUUGGGCGUAAAGGGCGCGUAGGCGGAAGGAUAAGUCAGAUGUGAAAUCCUGGGGCUCAACCUCAGAACUGCAUUUGAAACUAUUUUUCUAGAGGGUAGGAGAAGAAAACGGAAUUCCACAAGUAGCGGUGAAAUGCGUAGAUAUGUGGAAGAACACCGGUGGCGAAGGCGGUUUUCUAUCUUAUUCCUGACGCUGAGGCGCGAAAGCAAGGGGAUCAAACAGGAUUAGAUA
rnacentral:rRNA from 1 species